rnacentral:lncRNA from 1 species
GGGGAUCAUUAUUUAUCUGGAGACUAUAAGGCUGUGCUGUCCAGUAUGGUAGUCACCAGCCUCAUGUGGCUGUUGAGAACUUGAAAUGUGGCUAGUCCGGAUCGAGAUGUGCUCUGAAUACAGACAAUAUGGAGGCCUCAGGCUCAGAGGAUGGCAGAGUCUUCAGAUGGAUGGAGGGAGCUGCAGUCACUGAACCACUGCAGGGAGAGAAGUACUCACAGACCAGGAACGCUCAACUUGGACUGUUAUGUGACAGAAAGGAGACAUGCAUACAAGGAGAAUGCCAGGUGAACGUGAAGACCAUCAUUUGCAAGCCAAGAGAGGCCUGGAGCAGAUCCUUCAGAGCCCUCAGAAGGGACCAACCCUGCUGGCACCUUGAUUUUGGACUUCCAGCCUCCAGAACUAAGAACUUGAUGUAUACCUCCUGACCUGUUCAUCUUGUAGCUGCCUCUUGACAGAUAUAAGAGGCCGCCCUGUAGAGGAGGAAGGAGGAAGUUGGCUGUGAUUGACCUUGCUAGGUCAUCUUCCUAAUCUUUGUCCUUUCCUGCACCCCAAAUGGAAGAUAAAAGGCAAUGCAAGAUCAGCAUCCUCAGAGACAUCGUUUUGUUUGGGUUUCAUGGAUUGCAAUUGCCAGAGAUGCUUAGGCUGCCUCUAGAGGGAAGAUGAUUGAUUGUUAACCUAUGUGGUCCAACCAAAUGUCUUAGGGGUUAUUGAUAAUUAAAAUGGACAAUAGCGAUUUUCCAUUUCUUCUGGCCUUGGGUGCUGGCAUGUGGAAGUGGUAUUGAUACUCAUGACCAAAUAGGCACUUAUCGAUUUCAGUUUUCAUAAGUUGCCUACCAAAUGCAAACUAGUAACCCAGACGUGGGAGACCUAAUAUUCCAUUGUUAAUCUUUAGGUCCAUAAUUUUUAUUUCCUCUACUUGCCUCUUCUUCCUUCCUCUGCAUAAUGAGUUGGGCUUAUAUAAUUGCACCCAUUUACUCACUCAUUCGUUCAAUCAAUUAUUUGUUCCUAUUUUAUGCCAAGUAAUGAACAGAAGGUGUUGGGGAUGCAAAACCCAACUAAUUGGAAUUUCUAUGUUACAGGAGCUUAUGCUUUAGUGAAAUUAUAGACAAAUUAUUAUACAGUUUUAAUCCAGAAUAGUAAGUGCUAUGGGAGCAUGCACAGAGGAAACAACCCAAUCUUAAGGAAUCAGGAAGGUUUGCAGAGGACUGACAGGAAAAGUGGGCAGGUGAAGAAGAUGGGCAGUGAGAGGAGGAGUGGAAGCACUUUUGCUAGGGAAAAACAUGAAUAAAAGGGAUAAUUUUCUGCUCUUACCCCUGGGUGAUCUUUGCGUGGUACUGUCCAUCACAGUUGGGAGAGACGGCUCCUCAGAGCUGCUCCACACUGUUCACAGAGGAUGCCAUUCCAAGGAAACUGGGGAAUAGGGAAAGUCUUUAGCUUAUUCCUCUUUGAGGUUUGUUUGAGAUGCAGUUUCUUCAAUAUUUUGAGUCUAUGAAAACAUGUUGUAUACUUAAAUAUAUACCACA